ACGUAGGGGGCAAGCGUUGUUCGGAAUUACUGGGCGUAAAGGGCAUGUAGGCGGUUUAGUAAGCUUGGCGUGAAAGACCACGGCUUAACUGUGGGGUUGCGUUGAGAACUGCUGAACUUGAGUUACGGAGAGGGAGCUAGAAUUCCUGGUGUAGGGGUGAAAUCUGUAGAGCUCAGGAGGAAUACCGAUGGCGAAGGCAUGUCUCUGGACGAUACCUGACGCUGAGGUGCGAAAGUGUGGGGAUCAAACAG
rnacentral:rRNA from 1 species